GCAAACUUGGUCAUUUAGAGGAAGUAAAAGUCGUAACAAGGUUUCCGUAGGUGAACCUGCGGAAGGAUCAUUAACGAACCUCCUUUGGAGGGGGGGGAGGCCCCCGGAGGCCAGCCCUGCCUGCGCCCCAGCGGCUGCGGCGGCUGAUCCGUCGGGCAAACCGACCCCUCUCCCAAUCCACAACCCAAACCCACUGUGCACCCUUACGGGAGGGAGAGGCGCGAUGGCUGCCCGCCGUCGCGUCGACCGCCCGCGUACCUUAACACACAACGUCUUUUAAGAGUGAAGCUGCGAGCUUAGUCUCGCCUGAAAACGUUAACAACUUUCAACAACGGAUCUCUUGGCUCUCGCAUCGAUGAAGAACGCAGC
rnacentral:misc_RNA from 1 species